rnacentral:tRNA from 1 species
GCCACCUUAGCUCAGUCGGUAGAGCAAUAGUUUUGUAAACUAUAGGUCGUCAGUUCGAUUCUGAC